CAAGUCGCACGGGCAGGGGCAACUCUGUCAGUGGCGGACGGGUGAGUAACGCGUAGGUAUCUAUCCUGAGGUGGGGGACAACCGUGGGAAACUACGGCUAAUACCGCAUGAUGCCCGAGGGCCAAAGGCGCAAGUCGCCUUGGGAGGAGCCUGCGUCCGAUUAGCUUGUUGGUGGGGUAACGGCCUACCAAGGCUCCGAUCGGUAGCUGGUCUGAGAGGAUGAUCAGCCACACUGGGACUGAGACACGGCCCAGACUCCUACGGGAGGCAGCAGUAGGGAAUAUUGGACAAUGGGCGAAAGCCUGAUCCAGCAAUGCCGCGUGGGUGAAGAAGGUCUUCGGAUUGUAAAGCCCUUUCGGCGGGGACGAUGAUGACGGUACCCGCAGAAGAAGCCCCGGCUAACUUCGUGCCAGCAGCCGCGGUAAUACGAAGGGGGCUAGCGUUGCUCGGAUUGACUGGGCGUAAAGGGCGCGUANGCGGCUUGUACAGUCAGACGUGAAAUUCCUGGGCU
rnacentral:rRNA from 1 species